rnacentral:sRNA from 2 species
GUGCUUAUGAUAUAAUGCGAAUUAGAUAGUAAAGUUUAUGCGGUGGCUAAUCCCAAAAGAAAUGGGGUGACGCCUAUGUUGUUUUUCGGCUUUAUCCCUAGAAAGGAAUAAGCGUGUCUGUUUAUGAAGCACUAAUGUUUGCGUUAGCUUUCGCAACAUUGGUCCUUGCAAUCAGCAACAACAA